rnacentral:miRNA from 1 species
UUCACUACUAGCAGAAUUCGG